GACGAACGCUGGCGGCGUGCCUAAUACAUGCAAGUCGAGCGAAUCGAUGGGAGCUUGCUCCCUGAGAUUAGCGGCGGACGGGUGAGUAACACGUGGGUAACCUGCCUGUAAGACUGGGAUAACUUCGGGAAACCGGAGCUAAUACCGGAUACUUUCUUUUCUCGCAUGAGGGAAGAUGGAGAGAUGGUUCUGCUAUCACUUACAGAUGGACCCGCGGCGCAUUAGCUAGUUGGUGAGGUAACGGCUCACCAAGGCAACGAUGCGUAGCCGACCUGAGAGGGUGAUCGGCCACACGGGGACUGAGACACGGCCCAGACUCCUACGGGAGGCAGCAGUAGGGAAUCUUCCGCAAUGGACGAAAGUUGGACGGAGCAACGCCGCGUGAGCGAAGAAGGCCUUCGGGUCGUAAAGCUCUGUUGUUAGGGAAGAACAAGUACGAGAGUAACUGCUCGUACCUUGAUGGUACCUAACCAGAAAGCCACGGCUAACUACGUGCCAGCCGCCGCCGUAACAC
rnacentral:rRNA from 1 species